rnacentral:pre_miRNA from 1 species
CUUGUGGGGGUGUCCCUCAGCCCGGAUUGCAAGAGGGUGCAGGCCAGGCCAAGGGACCCCAUCAGUGCCGG